rnacentral:rRNA from 1 species
CACGUAGGGCGCAAGCGUUGUCCGGAAUUAUUGGGCGUAAAGAGCUCGUAGGCGGUCUGUUGCGUCCGCUGUGAAAACCCGGGGCUUAACCCCUGGCUUGCAGUGGAUACGGACAGACUAGAGGUAGGUAGGGGAGAAUGGAAUUCCCGGUGUAGCGGUGAAAUGCGCAGAUAUCAGGAGGAACACCGGUGGCGAAGGCGGGUCUCUGGGCAGUAACUGACGCUGAGGAGCGAAAGCGUGGGGAGCGAACAGG